UGCGUAGGUGGUUUCUUAAGUCAGAGGUGAAAGGCUACGGCUCAACCGUAGUAAGCCUUUGAAACUGGGAAACUUGAGUGCAGGAGAGGAGAGUGGAAUUCCUAGUGUAGCGGUGAAAUGCGUAGAUAUUAGGAGGAACACCAGUUGCGAAGGCGGCUCUCUGGGCCGUCACUGACGCUGAGGAGCGAAAGCGUGGGGAGCGAACA
rnacentral:rRNA from 1 species